UCGGGUGUGGUGCACGGUGCACGGCGGCUCCAUUUGAAUGAUAGAUGCCGCAAGUCGGGGUUCAACUCCCCGCACCCGAA